CUUGGUUAUAAUCUGUUGCAAGGCUCUGAUUGCAGAGGUCUGGACUCUACCUACAGGACAGACACUGGCAGGAUGUUCUCUGGAAAAUCAGUUGUCACUUUCUGGAACUCAAAUUACACAGUUCCGCUUGGGGCUUGGGUUGUCACAGUACAGAACUGCAGACCGGGUGGCUUCAACAGCUGACAUUUAUUUCUCACUGUUGCGGAGGCUGGAAGUCCAAGGUCAAGGUGCUGGCUGUUGGUUCCUGGUGAGGACCUCUUCCUGGCUCACAGGUGGCUGCCUUCUCACCGCGUCCUCGCAUGGUGGCAACAGGGAGAAAGAGCCCUCUCUCCUUUCCUCAUCUUACAGGGCCACAGACCUAUUGGAUCAGGACCCCACUCCCAUGACCUUAUCUAACCUCGGUUACCUCCCACGGCCCAUCGCCUAAUCCAGUCUCGCUGGGGUUAGGGCUUCAACACAUGAGUUUGGGGAGGAUUCAGUUCAGUCCACAGCAGCUCUGCUACUUGCUAGCAUUUGUAACCUCCCAAAAUGAAUCAUCUUGGAACGUUUGCAGAUAUCCUCAGAAUGGUCAAAUGGGAAAAUGUGUCACUAGGCCAAGCGUGCUGGCUCACGCCUGUCAUCCCAGCACUUUGGGAGGCCAAGGCCCAGGAGUUUGAGACCGGCCUGGCCGACAUGACGAGACCCUGUCUCUGCCAAAAAACACAAAAAUAAGCCCGGCAUGGUGGUGCGUGCCUGGAGUCCCAGUACCGGGAGGCCGAGGUGGGAAAAUCGCUUGAGCCUGGGAGGUGAAGGUUUCAGUGAGCCGAGAUUGUGUCACCACACUCCAGCCUGGAUGACGGAGUGAGAUUCCAUCUCAAAAAAAAAAAAAAAGUAUCACCAGACCUGUGUAUCCCGAGAUGAGAUCAAGCAAGGAGAUGCCGAGACUUGCUCUCGUCCUGUGCAGUGUCCUUGCAGUCUCACGAGCGCCAUGUUUGUCACAUGUCUGUGCCUUUGCUGGUGAUUUCAUGAUGUGAGAUGGCUCAGGAGCACAGGGCAGAAGUGCUGUCUGGGGCUCCUGAGUGCAGGAAGGCUGUGCUGUGCCUCAGGAGAUAACACGUGUGUUUAAGAAGCCACUCACACAUGCUGCUGGCUGUAAGCUCCAUGCUAAUGACUCAAUACUACGUAUUGAAUAAGGAGUUAUUAAAUAGGAACAAACAUUAAACAAGGUCAUAUUUGAAUGGAUUGGCAAAACUGUUGUGACCAGAUGUAUUUCUCUAGGGGCGAAUUCUCUGCAUUUGCAAGCUCAGUACGCACAGUAACUUUAGCAUAUAACCACCAUCAGCGUUUCACUUUACAACUGACUGUAUCUUAUUAACGAACGGGCUGGGUGUGCAGGGACCAGAAGCCCUGAGAAAGGCAAAAUAUUCAUCGGCUCCUUGUCUUUCAUUGUCAGCCCGAUGCCCAGCACUGAAAUCUCUGUUAGCACAUGAAUGCUAUGGAAGUAGCUUUUCUAAAUGAUCAGCCUUGACAUUGUUGAAAUACAGUGCUGGUGGUUACGAGAUUGUAGCCAUUCUGGGGCCAGGACGAGGGGAGCCAUGGAGAAGGGUUUAUUGCAGCGACAUCUUCCUGUUUUCUACUAAACAGUAAUGUUCGGGGACCUUGAAGUCAUUCAGUUUAGAGCAAUGGUUCUGAGAACCUUCAAGGCACAUGUGGCAACCCUGAGACCCCAGAGGAUUUCCUGUGAGACGCCUCGGAUUUCAGGCAGAGCCCCACAGGGCUGGUGGUUGGAGGAGAGUUCAAGGUGGCAGGGCUGAGCCAGGCCAGCCCCUCCUGCUGUGUGUGAUGACCUGGGAAGGACACACGGCUCCUCUGUCAACCCAGCUCCUCCCCAGAGGACAGCUGGCAUCAUGUCUGUGCUCCAGAAGCUGAGAGAGAGAGGGCAGAGUGCUUGACUGUGGCGGAGAACUGAGAAAACCUUGACCACGUUGGAAUUCAACAAGUCUUUUGAAAAUGCAGUGGCCAAGUGGGGGCAUUUUUACCUUUUCUCUGGUGUGUUUGUUUUUAAAUGUGAGUAUUUCUCAGCAAACAAAACAUUGAAGGUCGCACACUCUUCACACAUAAAUCCUGACUGUGAUGGAUGAGAAAGGCCGGAGAGGAGUGGGUCUCCAGGCCGCUGAGAAGUGCUGAGGCACCUUUAGGCGCUGGUUGGCGGAGGUCGUCAGAUCUCGCCUGAGGCAUCUACAUGAACAAGACGUUGUCUAGGGGCCUUGGGAACAGCGUGUUUUUAUACCGAAGACUCUAUUCGCAUAAUUGCAAGUGCAGGUUUCUUUGGCGACCCUGCCAGCAUGGCCAUUAUUGCUCAACUUUUAAUGAAAGGAAUUCUAAUGUGCAUGUGGAGAAAGUCAUUUCAACAGUAACUACCUGUAUCGUUUAAACACUUACCCUAAACCCUUCUCAUGAGCACUCCAGUCCUCGUGGACUUCUCACUUCUCUGGGGGAUGAGAACAAACAGGACCAGGGACAUGUGCCCACCAGGGCCCCCCAGCACCACGCAGGUGCGUAGCAGGCACGUCCAGCCUCUGGGCUCCUGGGCCAGAUUUUUUUCCAUUCUAAGAUUGUGAAGAUGAAAGCCUAUUCUGGGGUAAAGAUUCUCCAGAGUCAAGCCCGACGGCAGCCACCCUGACAGCCCUUGGCGCAGCGUGGGGUGCGCGUGAACUUUGUCCCUGGGCGUGUGGUUUUGGAGCCUGCCGGGGUGACAUUCAGCCUCUACAUUCAUUUUUAUGAUAAUUCCAAGUAAAUUGUGGUGCAAUAAACCCUUCAAGCCUGUCUUUCUUGUGAAAGCC
rnacentral:lncRNA from 13 species